GCGGGGNUGUCCGAGCUUGGUCAAAGGAGACGGAUUCAGGCUCCGUCGCGUAGAGCUGCGUGGGUUCAAAUCCCACACCCCGCA
rnacentral:tRNA from 1 species